CUGGGGAAAGACAUUAAGUUCGGAGCAGCUCAGGGCUGCGGAUCUAGGCUUUCUCCCUCUGGUUUCCCGACCCACCCAGGUCCAGGCAGCCGAGCAGCGACAGCGGAGCCCAGGCGCGUAGCUCAGGCCCAGCUACCAGUUGCUGACACAGAAGGAAAACCCACUCCUUUGGAGGAGCGCAGCCUUUUCCUCCAUCGCUGUCUGUGGAUGCUGCUGAGGUCCUUGAACCCUGCCCCCUGGACACCAUUGUCAGGAAGACUUUGUGGACGGGACAACCCCCCUGAGAGAGGAGGACCAUCAACUACAGUUUCUAACUAGGUCGCCUUCUCCUUCUCAAGUAAUGGCUGUCAUCAGGGUCAGACUAAAGGCAGCCCAGCUGGACAUCUGCCUGGAGGACUAGCCUAUAAGGGCUGCUAACAAGCCAACAGUGUGCUCAUCCAUCUGUGGAAACAUAAGGAGAGGAAAAUAUAUUUAUCAGCAGUUCUCUCAGGGAAAAUUCUGAGUGGGGCUGGAAGAAAUGGUAUGAAAAUUCCUUAAGGGUGGGGAUCAGGGAGUCAUCAGGAUAUACAGGACUGUAAGGCUGUUUUACUGCAGGGCCACUGUUUCUCUUAGUGGAAAAACACCAUAUAAAUUGAAUGCCCCAGCUAGAUUGUUUGUGACAAUGGAGGGUAGGCUUAAUACCACAGUGGUCCUCCUGCUGGCUUUGUCCCCUUGCAGAGCUCAGCCUGCCCUCUAGUAAAGAUGGAGCAAGUAGUGUUUUGAAGGAGGCACUAGUUUAUUAGCCUACAUGUCUCCUCUGCACUCUAGGGUUUGGAAAUGAAGAUGUAGCAUAGACUGUCUAUCUUCAGGUUCUAGGAUGUCAGCCUUUAAUGUGUCUUCAUUCACUCAGGGUUGAGGGUCAUUACUAACGAGUUAAUCAAGUCAAAUGGAACUUGAAUUCUUUGCCCAUGGAUUGGUGGUCAAACCCCAUCCUGUUUUGAGUUAAUUAGAUCUAUGGAGAUACCAGGUGGAGUUGGGACCCUCAGAAAGAUUUGGCAGAAGAGUGAUAUUGCAGUGUAUUUGUAGAUGAGGGCCUCUUGGAACAUUCUUGCAAUCAUGAGAAAUGGAACUGGAGAUCAUGUUAAUUAAUGCAACAAAUAGUUAAGUACAUUCUGGACAUUGGGAAGACUUGAAGAGCAAGAUAGACAUGGUUUCUACCCUCCUGGAACUUACAUUCUAGUUUUCCCUUAGGUGUGAAGAGCAGUGGCUACAGCAAACAAGUGACCAUAAAGAUAUUCUGGAUCCGGGGAUUCCAACUUACAAGGGCAAUUCCUAUUGCCUUAAUUAUACCUAGUGACCCAUGUUCUACCAGACUGCAUUCGACAAAUGCUCUAUGAACCAGCAUAGACUGUUUUUCCCAGCAAACUAUACAAAAUCCUAUGAUGCCAGGGGAAGGGGUUGGUGUUAGUAGGACUUCUGGCAAUGGAAAUAUUAUGUGACAUGGGUUAGGUAAUAGAAAUGAAUAGAAUUCAGGAACCAGCUGUUGCUCUGUUCUGUGUAGGAAAGCUGAAGCUUGAAGAAUGCUGGAUUGGGAAACUUAGAUUGGCGUUUUAGUCUUUUUUCUAAUAUUAACAAACUAUGUGGCUGUGGGCAAGUCACUUCUCAAUUCAACUUGCAUGCCUCUUGGGUGCUUCCAGGGGCCUUGUCCAGCUCUAAAAAUGUUACGAUCAGGUCCCAGACUACUGGACAGCUGGCUAGUUUCUGACUCUCCUGCUCCUAAGCUGUUAGGUCAAGUUGAUGCCAGUAGCAGUCAUCUGACUGCCAUGUUUUUUUCUUGGUGGCAGUGGGGCUUUUGUCCACCUUGUAGGAUACAAGGAACCUGAUUCUCCCCCUUGGAAUUGGGAAGGUUCUAGCAACAUACCCUGUAGAGUUCAUAAAGGCUUUAUUCCCUCCUUCCUCCCUUCUUCUUUCUCUCCCUUUCUUUCUCUCCUUUCUUUUAUCACGUAUCUACUGAGCAUAUGCCAUGUGGCAUGCAGUAGGGAUGUGCUAGGUUUGGAGAUAAAGGGCAAACCUGAUGCUUUUCUAUCACUCUAGAAGCUUUCACAGGAGAGAGGACAAAACCCUCCCUCUUUUCGUUCACUGGAUUUUCCUUUGGUAAAAAAGCAGUCAUAUCCCAGGGGAGUGUACUGGUGGUAUUCCCAAGGUAACUGAUUACAGAAAGGUGCGUAUUCUGCUCAUGCUGUGGGGUGCCUUGAGAAAUAUAUACAUCCAGGUAUUCGCUAGCCUCAGAGUCACCACGAAAACAUCUAUGUCCAGAUAUAAGGAGGAGACAAUCUUUUCCUUCUUGGCAUAUAUCUGAAGAGGGAUAGUCCUCCAUACAGUGACAGCCAUCCUGUCCUGGUAAGGACAAUCUAGGUGACUACUUCCUAAACUUGAGAAAAAAUGCUUCUCAAUAAAUAGACUUUUAAAAAAAAAUCUAUACUGUACUUCUUAUAUUCCCUAGGUUGGUGGCCUCUUAAAAAAGGAAAAGAAAAACACUAAUCAAACAAAAAGAAGUUAUGAUAAAUUAUAUAUAAGCAAUACUUCUCAUUGUUGUUUCUUUCAUCAUUAGCAAUUCUGUUAUAAAUAUAUUAGAGUCCAGAAAAUAUUUCAUGGAAAAAUAAAUCUAUGGAAUUUCAAAUUCAGAAUUGCUAACAAACUAUUUGGUUUGAGAAUUUUAUCCUGUGACAUAGUUUUAGCGACUUCAAUUUCUGACUUAAAUGGUGGAAUUAAUUAUUCUGGACUCUCAAUUUUGCUUCCCAAUUGAGGUUAACACCAAUACCUUUCCAUAGCCAAGAGCUUUAAUUUUCUCUGUUACCUUCCUUUUUUUGCAGACCUUGAUUAGUGUUUUACUUCCUAUCCUGUCCUGUACUUCCUUUCCUGUCCUUAUUUUCCCUCUCCACUGAAAACAGUGUAAUGUUCACAAGAUGGGAUGGCCGGGGGCUUAGAAGAGAAACAAAGGGCCUGGGUAACAUACAAAAAUGGAAUAUUGAUCCUAGAAUAAUUGACAGCAUAUUCAAGUAUUUUAGUGCAGUGCUACUUCAAUUAAGCAGAAACAGUAUCAGUAAAUCUAUAUGACUCAAUACAUCCCAAUGAAAAGGCGUAACAUUCUGUAAAUCAUCUGAUCUUUCGUAUCUGGAUAUUGGUCAUUGUGAAGACAAAAUGUACAGGUGAUGGACUGGUCUUUUCACUUCUUAUUUGCAUGGUCUGGAGUCUUGUAGUUCUAGCCAUUGACAAUAUGGCAAUUUGUACUUGUUUUCUCUGUCCCUUUUGAGAGAAAACAAAAAUCUUAUUUUUCCAAGCAAUUAAAACUCUUCUGCUUCAGCAAGGAUGAAAGAAUUUGGAGUUCUGUCUCCUUGUAUAUAAUUUCAUGUUUCAUCUUUCUUGUUUUAAUGAUUGACAGAAAACUGAUAAACUGAGACAUCUCUGAAUCACGGUUGAAGGUACUCUCCUGGUGGCCCCAUCACUAAUUUGUUUGACUAUUUUACAGGAUUUCUUUCUCUGUAAUGGAAAGGUUUAUUAAAUAUGAGGGGUGCAAAGCUUUGUGAAUACUAAUGAACUUAUUUGCCAAAAUUUAAAUGUUCUUCUUGUCAGUGAAUGCCUGUCUCACUUAACAGGAUCCAAAUUGAAUAAUGAAGAAAAUUAGACCAUAUUGUACCCUCAAAAGAAAUCAUGUGUGAAUUGUAAUAGAAUAGUGAGGGGAAAGGGGUCACAUUUUAGAAAAAAGUAUAGAUAAUUGGGAUUAUAUAAGAAAGGAUUAACUCGGGGAAACCCAAUUCUUUCCAAAGAGACAUAUUUCAAUCAUUCAAUGAGCAAGACUUCCCAAUGCACAAGUGAUCUAUAUAUUGGCCAGCUUAGAAUGAGAAUAAAGUCAUAAUUAUAUGGAAAUACAUGCUAGGUUUCAGUGGUUACAAUUUCUCAACCUUAUUCCUAUUCAAGACCCUUGUGUGCCUGUGAUAUAAUGAGAUAAACAAUAAUCUUGAAAAACGAAUAUUGUUCUCCAGAGGAAGUACAGUAGGGAGAUAGAGUUUGGGAAGUGGCCCCAACUCGUGCCUUUAAGCAUGGUUUAAAGCUGUCCCUUGGUCAAUAUAUUACCUUCAUUGCCGUGGUUUAUCACUAAUAUAGUUGAUGGUCAUGAUGCUUUGCUUCUGCCAGCAGCAGAGGGCAUUGUGGGAAAAAGAUGGCUGUCUCUUGACCAGGGAGCCAGGCUGAGAGAACAUCAGGAACCACACAAACUGCCAAACGUGGUCAGGGAUGGAAAUGGAGUGCAAGCAUGGAGUAAAAUAAAAUGAUGGAGGGGAAGUGAGGGGAAUAGAAAGGUGAAACUGUGCAAAGAUGGGAAUCAGUCCUGUCAUAAAGUUGGGAAAAGGGGGAGGUGAGUAAGGAUCCUGAAGUAGAAAAAAUAAAGGGAUGAAUGAGUGUCUCCAGUGUUUGUUGAAAUGAAUUCUUUUGAGAUUCCAGGAGGAGGAGGAAAGAAAGAUAAAGAGAGCGGGAAGAAGGCCCUGAAGCUUGUGGUGAUUAGAAAACAAAACAAAAUGAGCACAACCGUAAAGCCAAAAAAAAACUGAAAGUCAUGCUUUUCCAGAAAAAUAGACUGGGUGUUAACAGAAACUUUGAUGACAGCAGGAUUUCUAUAUAUAGGGUUUACUUUCAAUAUCUAAGAGAAAAAGCUUAUAUGACAUAGAUUCAUAAGAUAAAUAUUUUGUCAAACAUAUUAGGUUUUAGUCACAAAAGAGGAGAAGUAUAGUUGACACAUACCAGAUUCACACCAACCAACUAUGUGAGAUUUCAUUUAAGGAUGCUUUUUCUCAUAUUGCACCAAUUAAAUAGAAAAGAAGUAUAGUGUAUUUGAUUGUCUUGGUGGGAAGGCUUGAGAAUUUUAAAACUAGACUUCUUGGAAUGAUAUUUUGAUUUAAAAAUUUAAGUAAGUAAAUAAAUGGAAGGAGAAUUGGGAUAUUAAGAUUCAUUCCCACCAUUUCCAAUCAUGAUCUGCACCUUCAGAAAAACAGAGGAACUUGGGAAAUAGAAAUGAUAGGGGAAAGAAAUGAUGACUCGUGUGGGGACCAGGAAAGGAGAAACGAAUGCCGCAAACUAAAUCAGACCAUACAUUGCAUGAGAAAAUUCAAUGAACAAUAGAGUUUGAAGGAUAAGUGAGUAAUGAAGAAUAUGAGAUAAGAUAUUUUAAAAUAGGGAAUUAGGGAAAGUGAAGAUGAAUAAUUAAUUACAUGGGCGAUGAUGACAGGAGGAGAAAAGGUGAGGGGAGGAGAUAUUUAGGUUGGGAAAACAUAAUGCGACUGAUGGCUGUAAAGAGAAGGGCAAAGUUGAACUCUUGAGGGCAUAUUCCUCAACCUUUGGAGAAUAUGCACAAUCUAGAAAUAGAGGACAAAAAGAUGAAAAGAGUUUAUAGUUAACAUGAAGUUGUGAGGACAAUAGAGGAAACAAUAAACAUCAUUAGUCCUCAGGAAUGAAAGCAUUUCUAAAGAAAUGUAUUAGUCUUUCUUCGUUCAUUUAUGAGUAGGAUAGUCUUCAUCUAUCUUUACAAAAGGUUAAAUUAUAAAAUGAACACUCUAAAAGAAAAGAAAAGCUAAGUAUUGUCAGGGGAAGUUGAAGGAAAGAUUGCAUUUAGAACAAAUGAAGUGGGGAGAAAGCGAGCAUACCUGUUCACAGCCUCUCACAUAAAAUUUUUAAAGUCAGCAUCUUAAAGAAAGAAGUGGAGAUAAUUUAUCAAAAUGGAAAUGUGGGUACUGAUGAGGAAGUUUUAAUGGUUGAAAAUAUAUAGAAUAUAUUCUUCCAUAGCAUUUCUUUUCUUCAUAAAAAUGAGUGAGAUUAAGUUAAAAAGCUGUAGGUGUUGCUUUGAAUGCUUUGGACAAGAGAAGUUAUAGCCAUGAAAAGUAUUUCUAGUUGUAGAAAUAACAUUACUUUUAAAAAAAUAUUAACAUUUGGAGCAAGUCUAAAUGCCUUUCAUGAUCCUUUUUUGCUUUUUUGUAUUUAUGCAGGGGAUUCCUUUCAGCCAGACAGCACCAGACCCCCUUCAGAGGGAAGCUGAUAAAGUAAUUUAGGUGUAAAGUCCUAAUGAGAUAAUGAUGCUAAGGGCAGUUAACAACUAAUAAGAACAUAACCACAAGGGAUGAUAUUGUUGCUUAUUAAUUAUAAUGAUGAUGUGGAGGAAAGAGACAAGGUGGCACUCAUUUAGUAGAGAGCACUCAGGAGCAAGGCUGUUUUCCCAAAGGGGAAGUUGCAGUCAGUUAAGAGUUAGAAGUAGGUCAACAUUUAGCAGAGUUUGAAAUUUAUGGCCAUUGGGUUCCACUGGUGACCACAGAACUGGAGGCCAAGCAGGGGGUAACAGAUGCCUUCCUGGGGGAGGCCUGGGCUGGAGUGGAGACUGCUGUGGUUGCAGAGCCCAGCCUGCAUGGAUUCGGAGACUUGGGGCCAACUUUGGGACAGUCUGCUUGCCUUAUAUUCCACAGUCAUUCGUGGGCAGACAGGCAGGUGCCCAGAAUGGACUGGGUGUGCUUCCAGUUCCGUGACCUUCCCCUCCACUGCAUGCUGUCCAAUGACUCAGGCUUGUAGCCCGGCUAUUCAAGCAGGGUUGGUGCCCUGCCCUGUUGAGGGAGCCCAGGAAAUCCUCUGGUCCUCUUUUCAGAGGCACAUGUGUAGCCUCUGUCUGUCCACUUGCCUUUCAGUUUUCUUGGUGGUAAUAACUUCUCCCGACUCUGCUUCCUGAAUUCACUAUACAUCUGUACACCACCAUAUUAGCUCAGGGCAGGGUAAUUGUAGUACACAUUUAUUGCAGAAAACAUGGAGCUAUUUGGAAACUGUGGCUCAUAGAAGCUUGAACUGCAGGACCAGCCUUGGGAAGUCAUGAGGAAAAUGAAAUUCUCCUCCUUAUUCUCCCACUUACUCCUUACAAUGUGGUUCUCUAUCUGGGUCUGGGAGCUUAGGCUGUCCUCACUCUUUUUGGGUCUUUGGAUGGUUCCUCUGUGAUGAUAGGGGGUGGUUUUCCACACUGUUUUAUGCUCCUAAUUUUAUUAGCCAGAUGUGGGCCAUCUCACAGGAUUUUUCUUGUCCUAUGUCAUGAUUCUUACUGACUCCUACAAUGGAAAGGAAAGAACAUUCUCAUCAUUAUCUUCUUAAAGCAAGCAUAUUUUAGUUUCAUUAAAUGUGUGGUUUGAGAAAGGAAAGAAGUAAAAAGUGCUAGGCUAGAAGAUGGAAGAUGUGGAUCUAGUUCUUACCUUUCUACAUAUCAGCUGUGUAAACUUGGGUAAAUGUCUUACGUUGCUGAACCUUAGUUUUGCCAUUCAAAAAUGAAGAUCUAUUGAGGAUAAACUUUAUGGUUUUAAAGUCAUUUCUAGUUUUAAAAUUCUAUAUUUGUGCAUAAAUGUUCCUAUGGAUCCAAUAUCUAUUAAACCUUUAAGAGAGAAUUAGUUGGUAAACCCAUAUGAUGACAAAUGUUGCCUUAGAUCAUAGUUCAGAGUGGACAGUUAAGGUCAGGGUUACCAAUGAACCAAUGGAAGAACUAUUGGUUGAAUACUAUUUGGCAGACACAUGCAGACCUUAAAGGCAGGUGCUUUACAGGUGAGGAAAAUGAGGCUUUCAAAAGGUUAAUGAAAUUGUUCAAGAUCACAUGAUUAGUAAGGUGUGAGCCAACAUUCAAAGCCCGGUCUCCCUGCAACCAAAUCCCCAUGAUCUUUCCUGCUACUGUGUGCCAUCUGCCACUGUUCAGAACCCAAUACUUAUGUCCCAUAACUUAUGGCACCAGCCAUUGAAAUUCUCAUUGGUUAUUGUGGUUCUCAAAUGGUGAUGGGAGGAAAGAACAAGGUGUGGGUGGCUUGAAACAUCUCCCCAGUUGAUUCUUUUUUAAAAAUUUUUAUUAGAGAAGUUGGAGGUUUGCAGAAAAAUCAUGCAUAAAAUACAGAGUUUCCAUAUACCACCCUAUUCCCCAGUUGAUCCUGAUACGUGCAUCUUUCUGCCCCAACUCCCCUUUGAGAAUAACAUCCCCUGGCCACAGUCACACUAAAACGGUCAUAUAAAAGGUACCUUAUGUGAAAACUUUCUGCCACGCGCAGAUUCUUAUUUAUGUUUCUCACAGCAUGCCUCUUGAAUAGGCAGGGACAUUGGACACAAUUAUUCCUCUUUCUUCCAAAUGGGGAAUUGAAGCAAAGAGAAUUGAAUGAUCCAGUUUCAUGCACUGAGUGGUCACAGAAUCGACAUGGGGCUACACAUCUUAAGCCUCCAGCCGCCACAGGACGUUGUCUUUCUAGCCAAUUUAAUUAAUAGUGCAUUUGAUAAAGAAAUGUGUCACAUAUUUUUCCUCUGUGGUUUCCUGAUAGAUGCAGCAUUUCAGUGCCAUCACGUUAUUCAGAGUGUCUAUAAACCAGCCUCUCUGAAUAGUAUCAACUGCUGUAGCCAUCUACAAAUGUCAACUGGAGGAGCACGGUUUCUUAAACAGGUACUUCUGUUAACAAAAAAUGACUUUCUAGACAUUCGCUGACUGAUCCCAGAAAAAUACUUCUUCAAGGUCAGUGAGAGGGUUUAGGUACCCAAGGCAGAGACUAGGUCUUCGUUGUUCACAUCUUCUAUGAAAGUAAUAAAAACAAUCAAUUCCUUUUUAAAAAUAAGUUUAGCACCUGGAUUUUCAAAGUGCUUUUCAAUAAUUUAUUUUAAAGCCUUAGUGGGGAGGCCCCAGACUUCAGUCUUAAUCCACAGUUCCUUACAAUCUAAUAUGCCUUUUUUUGGUUUUCUUUCUACAUUUUGGUUUCUUCUCUUUUCUCUUGCUGAAUAGAUUCUAAAUUCUAAAUUGCUUAAUAAUGUUACAUGCAGUUAAUCAUGAAAAAUUAGAAAUACCCAGCUACUGGAUUUGCUUAAUACAUCAAGAAACAAGGGAAAACUAUGUUGCCAUUAGAUAGAAUGAGGUGGCUAUAUGUAUGGAAUGAUCUUUAAGAGACAUAGUUAAAUCUUAAAAAGCAAGAUACAGAAUGACAUGUAUGGUAUGCUAACCAUUUGUGUAAAUAAGUAAAUAAAUAAACAGAUACACACACAAACACAUGUUUAUAUCAGUGCCUAGCUGUGAAAGGAUAGGAAACUGGUAAUAGUUGUGGCCUCUGGGGAGAAACUGAUUAGCUGGGGAAUUGGAGGGAGACUCUAUAUAUAACCUAUUGUCCCUUUGUAUAUUGUAUCAUGUUCAUGUAUUACCUAUUCAUAUUUUUUUAUAAAGAAGGAGAUAGAGCAAUUUCUAUUGAGAUGGAAAAAUAUAAAAGACCUAUUGUUAGGUAUAAAAAGCAAGUUUCUGAGUAGUAUAAAUAGUAUAUGAUCCUAUUUUUGUAAAAUAAUUACAUAUACAUAUGUAUGUGUGUAAAUGUGCCUGUGUGUGUGUGUGUGUGUGUGUGUAUACAUAUACACACACAUAUAUAUCUAUAUACCAAGCUGUUAACAAUCAUUUCUCCUAGGAAGUUGGAUGAGAGAGGAAGAGAAUGAGAGAGAGAGGAGAGGGUAUGGAGAAAGGACAGGGAGAGAGAAAAAAUGAAUUUUAAUUUUCUAUUUUUGUACCUCUAUAUUGUCUGAAUAUUUUUUUUAUGCUAAACGCAUACUGUCUCACAAUAAAUAACCCAUCAAAACCAAAUCCAACCAAAGGAUUGCACUUGAUUUCUACACAUCUAUAAACAAAAUUUCUGCAAUCAACCUUUCUGAUAAGCCUUUAUUUUUUUUUAUCUCACAGAUUCACUUCAGAAUGAUGCAGCAAAAAAUCUUUCUCAUUCCUACUUUGAAAACUUCAGCUUGGAUUCAAUGUAACUCUCUUCCUGCUUCAGGAAAAUAUCUCUUCUUUCUGGUUCAUUCCUAUUAGCACACAAAUAUGUUAUAACUCCAAUCUUAAACAACAACAGAAACCAAAAAACCUCCCUUAACUACACACACCCUCCAAAUACCAUCAUUUCUCUGUUCUCCUUUAGAGCAAGUCUCCUUGAAAGAGGUGACUUUACUUUUAUAAAGUUCUUUUAUAAAGUUCUUUACGUUUAUAAAGUUCAUUCUUAAAUCCACUCUUUUCAGGCUUUGGGCAUUACCACUCUUUCCUGUUAAGGUUACUUAAGGUCUUUACCUGCCAAAUUUAAAGGCCAAUAUUUAGUCCUCAUCUUCUCUCUCAGCUCGUUGGUCACAGUUGAUCACUUUCUCCUUCUUGAAAUACAUUGUUCUCUCGUUCUUCUGGAUGCCUUUCUCCCUUGAAUCUCCUCCUACCUCAGAGUCUGCUCUUUCUUAUUUAUCCUCCUGACCUCUCUGUGUUGGCACUACACACAGCUCAGUUCCUGGGCCAUCUGUCUUCUCUGUUUAAGCCCAUUCCCUUGGCAAUUUCAUUGAGCCCUCUGGCUUUAAGUACCAUUUCCAUGCUGAUGUCUUCCAACCUGUCCCUGAGCUAUAAACUCCUUGCCUAUUUUGACACCACUAUUUGACUUCUUAACAGGCAUCUAAAACUUAACAUGCCCAGUUGAUCCACCUGUCCCCACCAUCCUUUCUGUCUCAGAAAAAGGCAACUCCACUGAAGCUCUACUGUCAAAAUAUGUCCCAUAACUGACUACUUUCAAUUCCUUCACCACUAAAGCCCUGAUUUAAGUCAAUAUUGCUCACCUGGAUUAGUACAAUUGCCCCUUAUUGGCUUCCUUGCUCCGCCUUUUUCCCUUGAUGUCUGUUCACUAACACCAGUCAGAGUGAUUCUUUUAAAAAAUAUAAAUUGGAUUAGGUCACUGCUCUGUUCAAAAUCCUCCAAACCUUCCCCAUCUCAGAGUAAAAGCCAAAGUCUUUACCAUGACUGUCAGGGCCUAUAGUGCUUCCUGUGCUUCCCCUACAGUCUCUGAACUCAUUCCCUAUCACUCUCCAUCACUGUUCUCAUACCAUGUUGACCUCCUUGCUGUUUUUCAAAUAUGCUGGACAUCCUCCCACCUCUGCGCCUUUCCACUUGCUGUCUGAAAUGCUGUUUUCUCACAUAGGCAUGUGGCUCGUUCCUCUCCUCAUUCUGCCCCAAUGUUACCUCCUUCCUUAACACCCUAUCUAAAAUAACGCUUGAACUAUAUGCUGUGCCCCUUUACCAUCGUCCGACAUAGUGUAUUUAUUUGACUAUCAUUUGCUUAUUAUUUAUCUAAACUAGAAUAUAAGCUCCAUGAGAACAGGUACUUAGUCUUAUUCACUGCUGUAUCCUCAACAUUUAAAAGAAUGGUUAUUACAGAGGAAGUGCUUGAUAAAUAUUUGCUAAAUGUUGAAUGAAGAAUGUUGAGAGGUUCCCAUAGCUUUCUUUAAUAUAUUCAAAUUACAUGAAGUUGUUCUUAAGACAGUUUACUUAUCCAUCUCAACUUUCUCAUUUCUUUAACAAAUUUUUUAACUUUUUAUUUUGAAAUAAUGAUAAACUCACGAGUAUUCAUAAAAAUAGUAUGGAGAGGUCCCAUGUACCCUUUAGCCAGCUUUCCCCCACAGGUAACAGCUUACAUAACUCUCUUUUCUUUUUAUUGUUUCCCAUGCUUCCAGUUUCUUCUACUUUCUUCUAUAUGCUUUUUUUCCACAGGCUUUCAGGACCCUUUCAACUCUUAUUUCAUAGCCAAACCACUAAUGAACUUCAAAACACUAACAUCAAUUUCCUUCUUGGGGAUGAUUGUCUUACUCAAGGGAAGAAGCAAAUAGUUUAAUUAAAUGGGAGAAAAUGUAUUUUAUCCUAUUAUUCCUACUAACAAAUAAUUCAAAAGAAAAGCAAAGCAAAUCUGUUUCAUAUCUUAACCUACAGAUUCUAUAGAUAUAUACUGUCUCUUCUGUGUGUUGUGUCGACCAGCUUGUUUGCUGCGAUUUCUGAAGUCAGGCAAAUGAUAAUUUGUUACUCUGUUUGUGCAUUCUGGUAUCUCUUGUAUGCAACUGUUUAGGAAGAGUUGAAUAAAAAUCAAUGUAUGAUUUUCUAUA